GUGGUAAUGCCGGAUGCUCCAGUUGAUCGCAUGGUCUUCUGGGAAAGCUUUCGCGGUAUGGGAUGGGGUCGCGUCCUAUCAGCUUGACGGCGGGGUAACGGCCCACCGUGGCUUCGACGGGUAGCCGGCCUGAGAGGGCGACCGGCCACAUUGGGACUGAGAUACGGCCCAGACUCCUACGGGAGGCAGCAGUGGGGAAUAUUGCACAAUGGGCGCAAGCCUGAUGCAGCGACGCCGCGUGAGGGAUGGAGGCCUUCGGGUUGUAAACCUCUUUUAUCGGGGAGCAAGCGAGAGUGAGUUUACCCGUUGAAUAAGCACCGGCUAACUACGUGCCAGCAGCCGCGGUAAUACGUAGGGUGCAAGCGUUAUCCGGAAUUAUUGGGCGUAAAGGGCUCGUAGGCGGUUCGUCGCGUCCGGUGUGAAAGUCCAUCGCUUAACGGUGGAUCCGCGCCGGGUACGGGCGGGCUUGAGUGCGGUAGGGGAGACUGGAAUUCCCGGUGUAACGGUGGAAUGUGUAGAUAUCGAAAAAGAACACCAA
rnacentral:rRNA from 1 species